rnacentral:rRNA from 1 species
CCAAGCCGUAAGGUGGAGCUAAUCCCUUAAAGCUACUCUCAGUUCGGAUUGUAGGCUGAAACUCGCCUACAUGAAGCUGGAGUUACUAGUAAUCGCAGAUCAGAAUGCUGCGGUGAAUGCGUUCCCGGGUCUUGUACACACCGCCCGUCACACCACGGGAGUUGGAGACGCCCGAAGCCGAUUAUCUAACCUUUUGGAAGAAGUCGUCGAAGGUGGAAUCAAUAACUGGGGUGAAGUCGUAACAAGGUAGCCGUAUCGGAAGGGGCGGCUGGAUCACCUCCUUUCUAAGGAGA